rnacentral:rRNA from 1 species
UACGGAGGGUGCGAGCGUUGUCCGGAAUCACUGGGCGUAAAGGGCGCGUAGGCGGCUCAUGAAGGCUGUGGUGAAAGUCCGGGGCUCAACCUCGGAUCGGCCGUGGCGACUCGUGGGCUGGAGCACUGUAGAGGCGGGUGGAAUUCCGGGUGUAGCGGUGGAAUGCGUAGAGAUCCGGAAGAACACCAGUGGCGAAGGCGGCCCGCUGGGCAGUGGCUGACGCUGAAGCGCGACAGCGUGGGGGAGCAAACAGG